GGAAGUUGCCUAAUAAUUAUGCACACCUGAUAUAGGGUGUUGAUGUCAUUAGACCACACCCCUUCUCAUUACAGAGAUGCACAUCACCUAAUAUGCUUAAUUGGUAGUAGGCUUUCGAGCCUAUACAGCUUGGAGUAAGACAACAUGCAUAAAGAGGAUGAUGUGGUCAAAAUACUCAUUUGCCUAAUAAUUCUGCACUCCCUGUAGUUUUAG